rnacentral:rRNA from 1 species
UGGGGAAUUUUGGACGAAUUGGGCGAAAGCCUGAUCCAGCAAUGCCGCGUGUGUGAAGAAGGCCUUCGGGUUGUAAAGCACUUUUGUCCGGAAAGAAAUCCUUGGCUCUAAUACAGUCGGGGGAUGACGGUACCGGAAGAAUAAGCACCGGCUAACUACGUGCCAGCAGCCGCGGUAAUACGUAGGGUGCAAGCGUUAAUCGGAAUUACUGGGCGUAAAGCGUGCGCAGGCGGUUUGCUAAGACCGAUGUGAAAUCCCCGGGCUCACCUGGGAACUGCAUUGGUGACUGGCAGGCUAGAGUAUGGCAGAGGGGGGUGAGAAUUCCACGUGUAGCAGUGAAAUGCGUAGAGAUGUGGAGGAGUACCGAUGGCGAAGGCAGCCCCCUGGCAAGUACUGACGCUCAUGCACGAAAGCGU